rnacentral:rRNA from 1 species
UACGUAGGCAGCGAGCGUUGUUCGGAAUUACUGGGCGUAAAGCGCGUGUAGGCGGUCCGGUAAGUCCGCUGUGAAAGUCGGGGGCUCAACCCUCGAAUGCCGGUGGAUACUGUCGGGCUAGAGUGCGGAAGAGGCGAGUGGAAUUCCUGGUGUAGCGGUGAAAUGCGCAGAUAUCAGGAGGAACACCAAUUGCGAAGGCAGCUCGCUGGGACGUAACUGACGCUGAGACGCGAAAGCGUGGGGAGCAAACAGG